rnacentral:rRNA from 2 species
GAUUUCUGGCGUGGUGCGCCAAGCCCGCCGUCGUUUAGGCGGUGAGCGCUUUGUGUGCGCCUGUCAUCCUUCCGGAGAGCGUAGCCUACCCUUAACUGGGCCGGGUUGCGCGAUCUGGAUCGUUUACUUUGAAAAAAUUAGAGUGUUUAAAGCAGGCGUUUGCUAUGAAUACAUUAGCAUGGAAUAAUAAGAUAGGACUUUGGCUCUAUUUUGUUGGUUUCUAGGACUGAAGUAAUGAUUGAUAGGGACAGUUGGGGGUGCUAGUAUUUAACGGCCAGAGGUGAAAUUCUUGGAUUCGUUAAAGACUAACUUAUGCGAAAGCAUU